AGAAACCACAAAUCGUGCCCCACCCCCCACUGACCUGUCCUGCUGGGUCCCUCUCGACUUUCAGAUCGGCCAGAGAGUCCGGAGCAGGGUGUGCGGGGAGCCAGGGCCAGGACCCCCGCCGCAGCUCGGCUUCGCUGCUGCUGAAUCGGACCCAGUCACAGAGAGGAGCCGACCCCAGCCCAGCGUCUCCAGCAGCGUGUGCGGCCUGAGCGUCGCUGAAAGAGACGAUGGGGCCAGCAGCUGGACCUGCUGGGAGCGAAGAGCAGCUGCAGGAGUGGCCUGUUGAGGGCCAUGGACACCUGGAGACUGGAGGGGAGCCAGAUCCUUGUCCUAACUACAAGAAAUGUACAAUUGUGCUCGCAGUCGCCCUUGCAAUCAUGUUCUUAGUUCUCAUCAUUGUCCUGGCAGUGUGGAGACCUAAGCUUCCGUCACCUGAACCGGGGCCCGUUGCUGGAUCGGAUACUGAGGGAAAUGCUACUAUUUCUCUGAGGCCGAAAGGAACUGGACCUGCAGCCUGACCCACUGCUCUGCGCUCAGCGCCUCCCUGGCUGAGAUCAACAGUGAGCAGGAAAUGGCUUUCGUGCUGUGCUAUAAAGGCAGAUUUGACCACUGGAUUGGCCUCCGGAGGGACCCUGGGCAGCUCUGGAAAUGGGCCAAUGGCACCGAAUUCAACAACCUAUCCAUUUGAGCUCCAUGGCACACGUCUCAGACAGAACCUGGCUGCCUUUUAUCCACCUGCAGCUGUUCCCAUCUGCAGAGCCUGAGAAG